AACAUUUAUACAUGUAUUGGCACAGGCAUAAUUAGGUCAUGACAUCUAUACAUAUCAAAGGCACUGAUAUGAUUAAACAUAGAAAUAAUUGCAAAUUUGUUCAAAAAUGAUUUCAUAUAUCAGAAGUUCUUAACUCGUUCUGCAGGUCUUUUGUAGCUCAUCUAUCCUUAAUUGUGACCCAUGAACACAAAGCUUCCAAAAGAAUAUUUAAAAGAAAAAAAAAAUAUAUAAUAAUGUAUAAAACUACUUCUCCAUCUGUUGAUUAAGCAGGAAAUUCAGCUUAUUAAUCUUGCACAAAUAGUGCUGAUACAUUUUUGCAUAGUUCCUAAUUCUAGUGAUGAUCUGAAAAAUACUCUUGAAUCUCUGGAACUUUCUAGAAACUGUCAAUGUAUAUAUACUUGACAUGUGGUUUUAGUUUGCCAGUUAGAAUUCAGUCUCAUGAUGCACUCUUUUUGGACAUUUGGUACAUAAUACUGUUCUGUUUUGUAGACCAUGAUGGUGUACCAAAUUUUCAAAUUGUCCCAUGACUUCCAAAAGAUUGAGCACCCUGUCAAUUCCUGUUAGAAUGUCAAAUUUUAUAAAUUAUUUAAAUACUGUACAUGUCUCCUCUAGUUAUGAACAUUCAUACUGUGAGGAACUGAAAAAUAUAAAGAAGAAAGUUAUCUGUGGUGGCCGGUUGGCCGUAAUGGACGUGGGGGGAGGUGGACUUGACAAGGUGUUCAUUUGAUUAUUGUUUUUUGUUUCAAUUUUUAGGAAAAGAAAAAGAAGAAAAAAAAAUACAUAAUAAUAAUAAUAAUAAUUUUGUUAUAAUGUUUGCACUAGUUAUAUUUUAGAAAUAACUUGUUUGUAAUUAAUGAUAAUAUUGUACGUUUUUAUGCAAA
rnacentral:lncRNA from 1 species